CCUACGGGGUGCUGCAGUGGGGGAUAUUGCACAAUGGGGGAAACCCUGAUGCAGCGACGCCGCGUGGGCGAAGAAGUAUUUCGGUAUGUAAAGCCCUAUCAGCAGGGAAGAAGAAAUGACGGUACCUGAGUAAGAAGCACCGGCUAAAUACGUGCCAGCAGCCGCGGUAAUACGUAGGGUGCAAGCGUUAUCCGGAUUUACUGGGUGUAAAGGGAGCGCAGGCGGCAUGGCAAGCCUGAUGUGAAAGCCCGCGGCUCAACCGCAGAACUGCAAUGGGAACUGCCGGGCUUGAGUGCCGGAGAGGUAGGCGGAAUUCGUAGUGUAGCGGUGAAAUGCGUAGAUAUUAGGAAGAACACCAGUGGCGAAGGCAGCCUACUGGACUGUGACUGACGCUGAGGCUCGAAAGCGUGGGGAGCAAACAGGAUUAGAUACCCCAGUAGUC
rnacentral:rRNA from 1 species